rnacentral:rRNA from 1 species
AAUGAACGCUGGCGGCGUGCUUAACACAUGCAAGUCGAACGAGAAAGGGAUUGCUUGCAAUCCUGAGUAGAGUGGCGCACGGGUGAGUAACACGUAGAUAAUCUACCUUUGAACCCGGGAUAACUAGUCGAAAGGUUAGCUAAUACCGGAUGAGGUUAAUAGACGUAGGUUUAUUGAUGAAAGAUUGCCUAUCCUUGGAAGCAAUUGUUUGAAGAUGAGUUUGCGGACCAUUAGUUAGUUGGUGGGGUAAAGGCCUACCAAGACGAUGAUGGUUAGCUGGUCUGAGAGGAUGAUCAGCCACACUGGAACUGAAACACGGUCCAGACUCCUACGGGAGGCUG